GUGGGGGAAUAACUUCGGGAAACCGAGGCUAAUACCGCAUAAUACCCACGGGUCAAAGGAGCAAUUCGCUUGAGGAGGAGGUCGCGGCCCGAUUAGUUAGUUGGCGGGGUAAUGGCCCCACCAAGACGGUGAUCGGUAUCCGGCCUGAGAGGGCGCACGGACACACUGGAACUGAAACACGGUCCAGACUCCUACGGGAGGCAGCAGUGGGGAAUUUUGCGCAAUGGGGGAAACCCUGACGCAGCAACGCCGCGUGGAGGAUGAAGUCUCUUGGGACGUAAACUCCUUUCGAUCGGGACGAUUAUGACGGUACCGGAAGAAGAAGCCCCGGCUAACUUCGUG
rnacentral:rRNA from 1 species